rnacentral:lncRNA from 10 species
UUCCAAUCUCCACUGGAUAAAACUUGCUCUCCAGGGCCUGCUAUUGUGCUGAGCACAAUCACAGCUCCUGGAGAGGUUUUUCUGUAUUUAUUUGUGCUGUCCCCUGCUGCUCACUCUUAACUCAGCCCUUCCCAUCAGAUAAAAAGAAAAAAGUUGGCUUAGGAAACCUCCCCUUCAGAGCAGAGGCUGUUCCUGCUUUGCCCCUAGCAUAUGUUAGCCAUAGGCCCUCCCAGAGUAUCCCGAAGGGGCUGGAGGCAGGGCAGAGCCUCAGGGGUUUCUAGCCCCAGAUCUAGCCGGGUUGAGACCCCCAGGUGUCUGAGUCCAGGCACUAAGAAGAGAGGGGUCUGAUGGCAGCAGCAGCGAACAUUCUUUGCAGGCCUCCAAGUGCCAGGUGCUGGGCUAAAUACUCUACGUAGAUUAUUUUGUUUAAUCUGAGAAGGGCAAACCCAAGGCUGGGCGAGCUCCACUGACAAGUGGGUAGGAUUCUAGCCCCCUCCCAUCAAGUCCAAAUGCCACCUUCCUCCUAAGGCAAUUACAGCUCUCUGGGGUCUCCACAAGGCCUUCUAAGGAUGUCAAAAGGAUUGCCUACAAAGACAAAUACCAGGCUUUCUCAGCAAGGUGGAGCCUGGCCAUGAAUAACAUUUUGUUCUAAGCUGGACGGAUGCUGGCACAGAAAGAAUAGGUUCUUUCGUUCCUGCUAUUGUCUUAAAACAUAUGCUUCUUAAUGAAAAGUUAGAAAAUGUUGAUGCCAGUUACAUUCCCAUCAGAUAAGAGCAAGGGUCAGCUGGCUUCUCCUGUUGAAAAAAACAAUUAUUACGCCCCUCCUUUACAUAAAAACAAGGUGCUUCAUACAACUCAAGAGUAAAUUGCUCGGAUUUAUUAACCAUUUUUUCAAUCAAAUGGCUUCCACUUGCACAGACGUGAUCUAUGAUCCUCACGAGCCACCUGGGUGAAUGUUGCUCCCUUCGAUACACAGAUGAGAGCCUGCCUGGCUUGUCCAAGCUCAAAGGGAGACUUGGGGAAGGAGCUAAGAUCUGGACCCAAGUCUAACCCCAAAGCUCAGGCUUCAGUCCACAAAGAGGCUUUGAUUGGGUAGAUCUGGGUUAGGAGCUGGGAAGUUGAAUCUUACAACAAAAUAUAAAAGCCUCCAGAUAAUUCUGAUGAUCAACCAAGUUUGGGAACCCUUCCCCACAUCCCAGGAUCUCAGGUCAGUGGCAGAGCUGGUCUGUGAUGAACCAAGCAUCCCUUGCCAGGAUUUGUUAUCACUGUCGCCCUAAUUCACAAGACCACAGUCAGACAAGGCCUGGGAAACCUGCCCUCGCUGAGACCUCCAUGGGAAAUCACCCACAUCUUCCUUCAGCUCGGCAAGGCUCGGAAUGCCCCCGGGACAUCCCACUGCAGUCUGCUCAAGUGUCACCUUAUUUGCAAGGAGAUUAUCUCUUGUAAAAUACAAAAGUAUGAGAUGAGAGAAUCAGUUAGGUGCACAGUUGCUUAAAGGAAAAGCAAUCCACCAGUAUCCUAUUCUCCCUUUCUCCCCUCACAAUCUUGAGAAACCUCUGAACAUUGAAAAAAAUGGCCUAGAAAUGUUAUUAUUGUACCAACUUAUUUCCUUUUCAAUGUACUCUCGUUCUCUUCGUUCUAUUGUUAGGAGGGUGAGUAUAAUAAAUGCUGGUCUUAAGUUUUCUGUGGAGACAGUCACUUCAGGGAAACUUAGUGACUGUCCUCAGGGCCUGGCUGGAGGGAGAUUAAGAGCAAGCAAGCCAGAAGUUGUGAUUACAAACUCUUCUUUUACAGAAAGGUGGCUGUUUUUAGUUUUGAGCCUUUAUAUCAGUGCAUAUGUAGUGGGUCGAAAUAGUGUCUCCCAAAAGAUGUCUACCUGGAACCUCGGAAUGUGACUUUAUUUGGAAUAAGGGUCUUUGCAGAUGUAACUCUACCAAAAGACACAUGCACUCAAGUGUGCUAUUCACUGUGCUAUUCACAAUAGCAAAGACAGGGAAUCAACCCAUGUGCCCAGCAAUGGUAGAUUGGAUCAGGAAAAUGUGGUCCAUAUACAACAUAGAAUACUAUGCAGCCAUAAAAAAAGAAUGAAGUCAUGUGGUUUGCAGCAACAUGGAUGGAGCUGGAGGCCAGAAUCCUAAGCAAAUUAACACAGGAACAGAAAACCAAAUACGGCAUGUUCUCACUUCCAAGUGGAAAGUAAACAUCGAGCACACAGGGACAUAAGUAUGUGGACUAUUAGAAGGUUGGGGAGGUGGGUUAAAAAACUACCUAUGGGGUACUACACUCACCACCUGGGUGACGGGAUCCAUACUGCAAACCUUAACACCACACAAUAUUCCCAUGUAACAAAUCUGCACAUGUGCCCCUGUAUCUAACAUAAAAGUUGAAAAAAAAAAAAGAAUCAAGAUGAAAUCUUAACUAGGAGAUUAGGUAGGAGGAAUAAGUUCAAGAGAUCUCUUGUACAACAUGGGGAUUGUAUUGAUAACAAUAUAUUAUAUACUUGAAAAUCAGUAAGACAGUAAAUUUUAAGUUCUCUCACCACAAAAAGUGGUAUGUGAGGUAAAGCACAUAUCAAUUAGCUUGAUUUAGCCAUUCCACAAUGGACACGUUUCAAAACAUCACGUUGUAUCCCAUAAAUAUAUGCAAGUAUUAUUUGUCAAUUCAAAAAUUAAUUUUUUAAAACACUGCCUAAAUUAGGCUGUUCCUUUGAAGUAUGAAGUAAGUUUGAUUAUUAAUCACUAGAAAGAGACUAUAUUUGCUUUAAAAUUAAAAUAGAAAUCCUGACAUCUCAUUUCUAUUUUCUGUAAUUGGUUAUUUUUAAGCAAUACAAAAUGCCAAGUUCAUAAAGUUUAUUGUAAUGAGUCUGUUCUGGCUCCCAGAAGAUGCCUCAGUUCAAAUCGCUAAGCUUUACGCUCACCAUUUCUCAAUCUUUGUAAUUAAAACAACAACACAGU